CAGGACAGAGAGCGAUGCGUGAAAGAAAGCCAGAUGUUGAGCAAAGGGCGAGCCUGUACACAGAUGUAACGCGUAGUCGCAAAGAAAGAAGACAGCCUGGAUGCCGAAACGACGUGGCUUCCCGCGAGGUUCUAGUGCAUUUCAACUAUUAGAACGGUCAGUUAACUCCCUUUAUUGUUCACAAGAGAGAGUAUGGAAAAAUGUAGCAGUGCUAAUCAAAUGUAAGGAGAAUAAAACCUUUCGGCAAGCAUA